UCUUAGCUUGCUAAGGCCGAUGGCGACCGGCGCACGGGUGAGUAACACGUAUCCAACCUGCCGUCUACUCUUGGACAGCCUUCUGAAAGGAAGAUUAAUACAAGAUGGCAUCAUGAGUCCGCAUGUUCACAUGAUUAAAGGUAUUCCGGUAGACGAUGGGCCUGCGUCUGAUUAGCUAGUUGGUGGGGUAACGGCCCACCUAGUCUUCGAUGGAUAGGGGUUCUGAGAGGAAGGUCCCCACAUUGGAACUGAGACACGGUCCAAACUCC
rnacentral:rRNA from 1 species